rnacentral:rRNA from 1 species
UGGGGAAUCUUCCGCAAUGGACGAAAGUCUGACGGAGCAACGCCGCGUGAGUGAAGACGGCCUUCGGGUUGUAAAGCUCUGUGAUCCGGGACGAAAGAGCCUGAGGUAAAUAGCCUAAGGAAGUGACGGUACCGGAAAAGCAAACCACGGCUAACUACGUGCCAGCAGCCGCGGUAAUACGUAGGUGGCAAGCGUUGUCCGGAAUUAUUGGGCGUAAAGCGCGCGCAGGCGGCUUACUAAGUCCAUCUUAAAAGUGCGGGGCUUAACCCCGUGAUGGGAUGGAAACUGGAAAGCUGGAGUAUCGGAGAGGAAAGUGGAAUUCCUAGUGUAGCGGUGAAAUGCGUAGAGAUUAGGAAGAACACCGGUGGCGAAGGCGACUUUCUGGACGAAAACUGACGCUGAGGCGCGAAAGCGUGGGGAGCAAACAGG